rnacentral:rRNA from 1 species
GACGAACGCUGGCGGCGUGCUUAACACAUGCAAGUCGAACGGAAAGGCCCUGCUUUUGUGGGGUGCUCGAGUGGCGAACGGGUGAGUAACACGGGAGUAACCUGCCCUUGACUUUGGGAUAACUUCAGGAAACUGGGGCUAAUACCGGAUAGGAGCUCCUGCUGCAUGGUGGGGGUGGGAAAGAUGCGGCGGUUGGGGAUGGACUCGCGGCUUAUCAGCUUGUUGGUGGGGUAGUGGCUUACCAAGGCUUUGACGGGUAGCCGGCCUGAGAGGGUGACCGGCCACAUUGGGACUGAGAUACGGCCCAGACUCCUACGGGAGGCAGCAGUGGGGAAUAUUGCACAAUGGGCGGAAGCCUGAUGCAGCAACGCCGCGUGCGGGAUGACGGCCUUCGGGUUGUAAACCGCUUUCGCCUGUGACGAAGCGUGAGUGACGGUAAUGGGUAAAGAAGCACCGGCUAACUACGUG